AAGUCGUAACAAGGUUUCCGUAGGUGAACCUGCGGAAGGAUCAUUAUUGAAUAAACCUGAUGGGUUGUAGCUGGCUUCUCUGGAGGCAUGUGCACGCCUGUCAUCUUUAUAUCUUCACCUGUGCACCUUUUGUAGACCUGAAUAUCAUUCUGAGGUAACUCAGUUAAGAGGAUUGAUGUGCUUAUGCCAGCUUUCCUUACAUUUUCAGGUCUAUGUUUUCAUAUACUCCUGUAUGUAACAGAAUGUUUUAUUGGGACUUGUGCCUAUAAACUAUAUACAACUUUCAGCAACGGAUCUCUUGGCUCUC
rnacentral:misc_RNA from 1 species